rnacentral:rRNA from 1 species
GUGGGGAAUAUUGGACAAUGGGCGAAAGCCUGAUCCAGCCAUGCCGCGUGUGUGAAGAAGGCCUUCGGGUUGUAAAGCACUUUAAGCGAGGAGGAAAGGUUGAAGGUUAAUACCCUUUAGCUGUGACGUUACUCGCAGAAUAAGCACCGGCAAACUUCGUGCCAGCAGCCGCGGUAAUACGAAGGGUGCAAGCGUUAAUCGGAAUUACUGGGCGUAAAGCGCGCGUAGGUGGUUAAGUAAGCGAUCUGUGAAAGCCCCGGGCUCAACCUGGGAAUUGCAGGUCGAACUGCUUGGCUAGAGUAUGGUAGAGGGGUGUGGAAUUCCAGGUGUAGCGGUGAAAUGCGUAGAUAUCUGGAGGAACAUCAGUGGCGAAGGCGGCUUACUGGUCCAUUACUGACGCUGAGGUGCGAAAGCGUGGGGAGCAAACAGGAUUAGAUACCCCGGUAGUCC